rnacentral:rRNA from 1 species
CGGCGGACGGGUGAGUAGUGCCUAGGAAUCUGCCUGGUAGUGGGGGACAACGUUUCGAAAGGAACGCUAAUACCGCAUACGUCCUACGGGAGAAAGUGGGGGAUCUUCGGACCUCACGCUAUCAGAUGAGCCUAGGUCGGAUUAGCUAGUUGGUGGGGUAACGGCUCACCAAGGCGACGAUCCGUAACUGGUCUGAGAGGAUGAUCAGUCACACUGGAACUGAGACACGGUCCAG